CAAAGGGAAGGGAAACAUAAUGCCUUGCUGUGUGGCCUCAUUGAGUGGUUCCGAGGGCACCCAGCUAUUCUGUCCGUCCUGCACUGGAUCGACACUGCAUAAAAUGAAACAGAGAGUUGGAAAUUAGCUGGUGAAUAAGAUGAUGAAGAAACACAAACAAGGCUCUUCAGAGCUGGAAAGCUUCUGGGGCCAUUGCUACGGCUCAGAAGCUCUCUGAAAUACGUCAGGGACCCAGCUUUUUAAGGACACAGCAAGAAGGCAGCCGUCUGCAAGCCAGGGAGAUGGACCUCUCCAGAUCCAGAACAUGCCGGCAUCCUCAUCACAAACUUCUAACCUCCAGAACGAUCCUCUUCUUCCUAUAGAAUACUUCUGGUGACAAAAGAACCUAUCACUCUUCUCUGGGAUUGAGAUCUUGUGGAAAUCCUCUUCCUUAUGCUUUGAAGAAGCAAGCUGCCAGGUUAUGAGCUGCCUCAUGGAAAGGGCCACGUGGCAGGAGCUGAAAGUAGACAACAGUCAAAAAGAGACUGAGGCCCUCAGUCUGGCAGCCUGCAAGAAACUGAAUGCUGCCAACAGUCAUGUGCUUGGAAGCUGAUCCUUCCCCAGUUGUGCCUCAGAUGAGAGCCCGGUUCUGGCCCACACCUUGAUUAUAGCCUAGCAGAGGACCUAGCUCAGCCAUGGCUGGACUUCUGACCCAGAAAACCAUGAAAUAAUAAAGUAUGUUGUUUUAAGUUGCUAAAUUUGUGGUAAUAUUAUUAUGGAGCAAUAAAUAACUAAUAUAGAUACUAUCUACUGUAUAUGAUUGUUGUGAGAAUUAAAUGAAAUAAUGCAUGUAAAGGCUUAGUACUGUCUUUGGCACACAAUAGAUACUCAACAGUUAACAGGUUCAUGCCCUGACUUCCACCCUCUGCCUUCCAGUUUUCACUGAUCGAGCAAUAGUUGAAUCCCUGUAGCACUUACCAGUGUUGGAAGAGACAUUUAAGUAUAUUUAGUCUCAUCUUGCAGCUGGUAUUUACAUUCUUCUACUAAUUUACUUUCUGUCUAGUCUUUGCUAAAAUAGCUCCAGUGACAUGCAGCUCAUUCUUGAGGCUUCCCUUUUUACAAAAGUAAUGGCUCUGGCAUCCUUUGCUAAUCAGGACAUAGUCUCUCUGAGGCCCACAAGAUCAGCAGACUUGCAUCAUGAUCAUUUGAAACCGCAGCCCUUUUCAAACAUAUCUGCUGGAGCGUUAUUACAAAAGACUAUAUUUAAAUAGCCAAUGAGCAUAUAAAAAGGUGUUCAUAAGCAUUCCACCAGCUUCCACCCACACCCUGAAGGCCCAAUGCCAUAUUAACCACUUGCCCAAGGAAAGGGCUCUUUUCCUCAAGGAAGACUGCUCUCUUCUUCAGAAUCUAGUGUCAAUUUCCUCCCUGGUUUUCAGAGCAUGCUAGAUAGGGGAAAUUUCACUUCCCUGCCACCCACAUGGAAAUGAUAUUUCUCUUUGAUAGGGAUAAUUAAGAUUUUCUCAGUCUUGUAAAAAAUGUAAACAAAAGCAUCUUAAACAUUAAAAAAGAUGUUCAGUAUCACUAGUCAUUAGAAAAAUGCAAAUUAAAACCACAAUACUUCACCAGUAUAGCUACAUUAAAAGACUAACAAUACCAAAUUCUUGGCAAGUAUGUGGGGAAUGUGAAACUCCAUCUCUGGCAGGUGUGCAGUUUGGCACAACUACUUGGAAAACUUGGCAGUAUGUGCCAAAGCUAAACAUUUACCUAUUUAGCAGUUCCACUCCUGGGUGGAUGCCUAACAGAAAUGUGUGCUUAUGUCUGCCAAAAGAUAUAUACAAGAAUGUUUAUAGCAGCUUUAUUCAUAGUAGUUCAAAUGGGAAAAUAACCCCAAAUGUCCAUCAAAGGAGAAUGGGUAAAUAAACCAUUGUGGAUAUUUGCACAAUGGAAUACUACACUGCAAUAAAAAAUACUAAUUGCAACAUGGAUGAAUCUCUCAGACAUAAUGUUGAGUGAAAGAAGCUAGACAUUAAACAGUAAAAUACUCAGUGACCUUAUGUAUAUGAAGUUCAACAAUAGGCACAACUAAUCUGCUGUGGUAGAUGUUAAAAUGAUGGUUAUUUGGGGGGCAAUAUUGCUUGCAAGAACAUUCAAGAGUGCUGGGAAUUUCUAAGUCUUGAUCGAUGUAGUCGGUUACAUGGGUAUACACUAUGUAAGUGAAAAAAUGUAUUGAGAAAUACUGAUAAAAUGUGUGGACUUUACAG
rnacentral:lncRNA from 1 species